AGUGAACGCUGGCGGUAGGCCUAACACAUGCAAGUCGAACGGCAGCACAGUAAGAGCUUGCUCUUACGGGUGGCGAGUGGCGGACGGGUGAGGAAUACAUCGGAAUCUACUUUUUCGUGGGGGAUAACGUAGGGAAACUUAGGCUAAUACCGCAUACGACCUACGGGUGAAAGCAGGGGAUCUUCGGACCUUGCGCGAUUGAAUGAGCCGAUGUCGGAUUAGCUAGUUGGCGGGGUAAAGGCCCACCAAGGCGACGAUGCGUAGCUGGUCUGAGAGGAUGAUCAGCCACACUGGAACUGAGACACGGUCCAGACUCCUACGGGAGGCAGCAGUGGGGAAUAUUGGACAAUGGGCGCAAGCCUGAUCCAGCCAUACCGCGUGGGUGAAGAAGGCCUUCGGGUUGUAAAGCCCUUUUGUUGGGAAAGAAAAGCAGCAGGUUAAUACCCCGCUGUUCUGACGGUACCCAAAGAAUAAGCACCGGCUAACUUCGUG
rnacentral:rRNA from 1 species